rnacentral:rRNA from 1 species
UACGGAGGGUGCAAGCGUUAUCCGGAUUCACUGGGUUUAAAGGGCUCGUAGGCGGCCAACUAAGUCAGACGUGAAAUCCCUCAGCUUAACUGGGGAACUGCGUCUGAUACUGGAUGGCUUGGAUUCGGGAGAGGAAUGCGGAAUUCCAGGUGUAGCGGUGAAAUGCGUAGAUAUCGGGAGGAACACCAGUGGCGAAGGCGGCUACCUGGCCCACUCUUGACGCUGAGGCGCGAAAGCUAGGGGAGCAAACGGG